AGCAACAAGAACAUGUCUUGACUUGUACCAGCUUGUCAAAAGGGAGUUAAGGCUUGUGGUCAGCACCAGUAACUGUAUUUGCAUUGUCAUCCAAAUGACCGGCGAAAGACGACAGCAGCAUACCAUCCACUGUAGAAUAUAUGGAUACUGGGACAAACUGAACUGACAGUCUCAGCACUGGAUAUCCCUUCUCUAGAAGAUCCCUGACUUCACCACGGCUAAUUGGUCUACUGAUGACAUGACCCCUGAGAAAAAAGAAACGUAUCCAGAUGUCCUGGAGAAGAUGAGAGACCCUGUGUCAGCAGUAAGGAGACCUCUCACCUACCCUCAUCUCUUGGAAAGCAAAAGCAGAACAAAGACUUUUUCUUUAAGGGGAAAUCUACCUCUGUCCCCAGCUGUCAUACAAGUACUGUGUGUGGACAUUCCAUGAGCAGAGUAUUAAAGUGUCCAGAGCUCACCCGCAGGAGACAGGAGAGUUAUACGAGGAGCCUUUACAGUCACCGACAGCUGAUAGUGAGAGAUACUGAAGUGAUGGAAGAGAAGAGAGCGAGUGAGGGAUGAGGGCUGCUGCUGUGAGUGGUUCUUUGGCAGUGUCUUAGCUGGUUGUUGUGUGGAGUGAGAACGAAGCAAUCAGCAAGUAUACUGCCGCAGAAACUCGUCACCUUGGGAGGCCCAUCCAAAGACCCCGCUCACGCACUCAGCUGUCCACCCGCGCUCAGAGGCUGGUGAGAGAGACGACAAAAGAGAAUUCAUUAUUGAACUUGUCUUCCCAUUCAUUCUUCUUCUAAUUGCGAGUGUCAGCUUUUGUUUAUUGGCAACGCUGCUUGAACACUCACAGCGACUUGAGAUUUUCACGUGAAAGACUGAUUUAUGCUUACGGUAUGUUGGAUCAUAUUUUCUGUGACAUUGUAGUCAUAGUUUAGAUCAAUCCAUUCGUUUUCUUUCUUUCAUUUCCAUGAGAUCUGGAGUGAUUCAGUCAAGUGUUAUUGUGAAAAUCAGCUGACUAGAUUUCGCAGUUUCAGUAUUGCCAUGACAUGGUGUGGCCCGUUUAUAUUUGGCUUACUUAGCUUACAGUCCUGUGACAUAUUCAUAUUGUGUUAUGGUGUGUUUAUUUAGAAAUUUGCUAAUUUACCAAAACAUUAAUCCUAAUGAUUAACCAAAAAUACUUUUCAUUCUGGUUUGAAAAAAAUAUGUAGAAAAAAGUAUUGGGAAAUGGAAUAUAUAAAUGUAUGUGUGUGUGUGUGUGUGUGUGUGUGUGUGUGUGUGUGUGUGUGUGUGUGUGUGUGUGUGUGUGUGUGUGUGUGUGUGUGUUUAAUAAAUAUAAAAAAUGUUUUGUAAUAUUUGUAUAAAUUAAUAUUUAUUUGAAUUUUUUUUUUUUGUAGACUGUAUUUUAAUAGUAAUUACAUAUGAAUGCAUUUUUUUCCAAAUAACAGUAAAAACAAAAUACGAGUUUUUCAAAUGUUGUCGCUAUUGUCAUGUUUUAUUUCUCUACUUUCUAGUGCAUGUUUAGACUUUAAAGUGGUUUUAAGUUGAGUUUCAUUUUCAGGGAAUUUCAUUAGUGUUGGGGUUUGUUAAUCAUCAAAAGGGCAGUUUGUUAAGGUGAAUGAAAUGCCUGUAACUCACUUGAGGUUUCGAUGUAAUAACAUCAGUGUGGCAAUAAGUUUGAACUUGUCUGUACUCUGAAAUGCUGGAAAUCAAUUUAGUAAGGUCUUUUACAACGUAUUAAAGCACUUUGUUUUAAAUAAUAUCCUAAAAGUGUGAUUAUAAUGCCAUGCAGGGUGUAGCCUUCACAAACUUAAUGCAAAGGUAUGUUGAACACCUUAAUUUUUUUUUUUUUAAUGAGCAAUUAUAGCAAAUUAAUCCAAAUUAACUGUAUGAAUAAUCUCAGAUAUUUGUCAGUUUAGUCACUUGCCUAGAUUGGAUCUUAACUGACAAUGUCAAUUAGUUUUUUAUGCACAGAAUGCAUGAUAAAUGCCUGGGGCAAACUCCCAACAAACAUCUCUAUAGUUGUUUCAGUUGUAUGAUUUACCCAGACUUAGGCAGACAGUAUUUUGCAUUUUAUUCUAGUUUAUCUCUGGAGUCUGGAUUGUAUUAUGUCAGUGGCUCCGGAGUUUAAUUUUCAUGUAUUAUCUAUGAUAACAGAUCCAAACUGAACUUGAAAUUAUCAGUAUAUAAAAUAGAUGCUUUUACUUACAGUAGUCCUUCUUAAAUGUAUUAUACAUUUAAUUACACAACAUAUAAUACAAUAAAAUGUGUUACACAACAUAAUAAUAAACAACUCAUUUCAAAUAUAAUGA